rnacentral:rRNA from 1 species
CAGUGGGGAAUAUUGGACAAUGGGCGCAAGCCUGAUCCAGCCAUGCCGCGUGUGUGAAGAAGGUCUUCGGAUUGUAAAGCACUUUAGGCGGGGAGGAAGGGCAGUAGGUUAAUACCCUGCUGUUUUGACGUUACCGGCAGAAUAAGCACCGGCUAACUUCGUGCCAGCAGCCGCGGUAAUACGGAGGGUGCAAGCGUUAAUCGGAAUUACUGGGCGUAAAGCGCGCGUAGGUGGUUCGUUAAGUCGGAUGUGAAAUCCCCGGGCUCAACCUGGGAACUGCAUUCGAAACUGGCGAGCUAGAGUCUUGUAGAGGGGGGUAGAAUUCCAGGUGUAGCGGUGAAAUGCGUAGAGAUCGGGAGGAACACCCGUGGCGAAGGCGGCCCCCUGGACCAAGACUGACGCUCAGGUGCGAAAGCGUGGGGAGCA